AGUGAACGCUGGCGGUAGGCCUAACACAUGCAAGUCGAACGGCAGCACAGUAAGAGCUUGCUCUUACGGGUGGCGAGUGGCGGACGGGUGAGGAAUACAUCGGAAUCUACUUUUUCGUGGGGGAUAACGUAGGGAAACUUACGCUAAUACCGCAUACGACCUACGGGUGAAAGCAGGGGAUCUUCGGACCUUGCGCGACUGAAUGAGCCGAUGUCGGAUUAGCUAGUUGGCGGGGUAAAGGCCCACCAAGGCGACGAUCCGUAGCUGGUCUGAGAGGAUGAUCAGCCACACUGGAACUGAGACACGGUCCAGACUCCUACGGGAGGCAGCAGUGGGGAAUAUUGGACAAUGGGCGCAAGCCUGAUCCAGCCAUACCGCGUGAGUGAAGAAGGCCUUCGGAUUGUAAAGCCCUUUUGUUAGGAAAGAAAAGCAGCAGGUUAAUACCCCGCUGUUCUGACGGUACCCAAAGAAAAAGCACCGGCUAACUUCGUG
rnacentral:rRNA from 1 species